AUUGAACGCUGGCGGCAGGCCUAACACAUGCAAGUCGAACGAGUGGCGGACGGGUGAGUAAUGUCUGGGAAACUGGCUGAUGGAGGGGGAUAACUACUGGAAACGGUAGCUAAUACCGCAUACCAUCGGAUGUGCCCAGAUGGGAUUAGCUAGUCGGUGGGGUAACGGCUCACCUAGGCGACGAUCCCUAGCUGGUCUGAGAGGAUGACCAGCCACACUGGAACUGAGAAACGGUCCAGACUCCUACGGGAGGAAGCAGUGGGGAAUAUUGCACAAUGGGCGAAAGACUGAUGCAGCCACGCCGCGUGAAUGAAGAAGGCCUUCGGGUUGUAAAGUACUUUUAGCGGGGAGGCGGUACCGGCAGAAGAAGCACCGGCUAACUCCGUGCCAGCAGCCGCGGUAAUUC
rnacentral:rRNA from 1 species